GGGGUCAUGGUUUCCGAGGGGGCACCGGCGGCGGAGCUGCUGUGGCCCUGCGGUCGCCUAGAGGGCUCGCGUGGCGCUGCCCCGGUCGCGCGGAUCGGGCGUUGGGGGCGCCGUCUUCUCCGGGAGCUGCUGGCCGGGGUGCGCACCGUGCCCCGGGAUCCCGGGAGCAGCUGCUCCUCGGGGAACAGGCGGUUGCAUUUCCAGCAUCUCCCGGUCCUAGACGAUGGGGCUCCGGGCAGUCUGGCGGCUCGGGCGCUCCCUGGCUCUUACGUGCGCCGGGUUCGGAGCGCGCCCAGCGCCCGAAGCCCCAUUCCUGAUCCUCGGAGCGCUGCGCACGAAACGCUCGGUGGCGGCGCGGCUGUGCGGGCUGGCGGGUGGACCGAACGGUGGCGCUGGAGCGGGCUGCGAUCUGGAUCUUCGGGAAAUGCCGAGCGGAGCGCGCUGCCGGCUCUAUUUAAGGAGUCGCCUGACGUCAGCCGCGCGGGUCCCCCGAGCCCGCGCCGCGCCCGGGGACCUGGCCCGCCCCCUGCGCCCCCACUCUCUUACCCCUCCCAGAAACACAGGACGCGGGCGCUCCUCACGCAGGCCACUCCCUACAGAGCCCCAGGCCAGCUUUGGGGCGGUGAAGCGAAGGUGUCAAGGCAUAGUACUCCUCUGGGAGGCUGGACAACCCUACCACGCGGGCCUCUCGACACCGAGGGACACGAACCCAGGUCGAGAUCGCGUCGACAUCCAGACCAGACAGACCCAGACGCAGACGCAGGCACCCUGCCCUGAUGCGCGGUCCCACCACCCUGACCCGCACACACACGCACAGGCACAGAAGCACACACGCCCUAGCUCGGACACACCCCCACACGGGGAGGAGAAGUCCCCUGACCUGGGCCCAGAUACACCGACAGGGACACUGCCCCCCUCUCGACAUCUCGCCAAAUGGACACACACAGCCCGGAAUCCGACACGGAGCGCACGCACGCCCAGGACUGGGACACGCGCUGUAGAUGGGAUGGGUGGAGGAGCCGAGCGCUCCUCUCCUGGAUGUGAGCUAAUUUGUCUAUGUCUCUUCCAAAAUCUUGCACCUGGGACUGCAUGAGGAAUUUCAGAUAUGGAUUGAAAAGUUCAACAGGACUCUCACCUCUCUUUUGUGUACUUUGGGCAAAUGGACCCCCUUUGAGCCUCAGUUUCCUCAGCUGUAAAAUGGGAAGUUAUAAUCCACCUUAAAAGCCUCUCAAAGUUUAGAUGUUGUGUAAUUUUAUGAUUCCAUUAUCCAAAGCAUGAACCACUUGCUUGGCAUCAUGUAAUUUCCACAGUUGAUCACAAUUUAAUUAAUUCAUCAUUCUAAUUGUUAAUAAAAAUGUCAAAACAAAUAUGCUGAAAGUUCUUCUCCUUUUGGAUGGGGGGAAGUGUCUCACUCUGUUGACCAUGCUAGCAUGCAGUAGUGCAAUCACAGCUCAUGCUGCAGCCUCCACUUCCUGGGCUCAAGGGAUCCUCCUGCCUCAACCUCCUGAGUAGCUAGGACUACAGACAUGUGCCACCGCACCUAGCUAGUUUUUAAAUUUUUUGUAGAGAUGAAGUCUUACUGUGUUGCCCAAGCUGGUCUUGAACUCCUGAGUUCAAGUGAUCCUCCUGCCUCAGCCUCCCAAAGUGCUAGAAUUGCAGACAUGAGCCAUAAUGCCUGGCCUGAAAGGAGCUCUUAUAUAUACUUUGAACAAUUAUUCACAUCAUGAACCUGCUAUUUUUGUAUUCCAUUGUUAAAAUUACAAGGUUAAGUGUGGAGUCAUCUGCUACGAUGAGUACUAUUUCCCUUAGAAAAUAAAACAUGAAUAUAAUGAUUUCUCAUAAUUCUGUGCUUGCUUUAAUUUUUAAAUAAUUUUUAAUCUUUGAACUGUGAUAUCCCUGGGUACCCAAAUAUAUGAAAGCCAGGAAGAUUUUCCUCUUCAAAUUUCCAAUCAGAGUAACGACUGACUCGGAUAGAAUUUUUUAGGAAGUGAGAUUGUGGACAUACCUGCCCAUCUCCUAUACUUUUAUCUGUUUACAGUAGCAAACAUGAUUCUGGUUUAGGGGUAUCAGGUAGGUUUAUGUUGGGUUGUGUAGUUUGUCAAUUAACACCCACUUAAGCAAGGUAUGUGUUUAUUUUUGUAUCACAUGAAAGUCCAGAUGAAGGUAAUUCAGGACUCAUAUGGAAGCCCCAAAGUGUUUGGGACCCAGGUUCCCUCUAUCUUGUUACUCCACCAUGCAUUUCCUCCAUUCUAAAGUCACCACAUAGUCUACAAUGACUUAUUCAUCUACAGCCAUCAUGUUCACAUUCUGAUCAUCAGUAAAUAAGUAAAGACAUGCAAUAUCUCUUUAAGGACAUUUCUUGGAAGUUGCCUGUAUUAUUUCCACUCAUUUUCAAUUUGACAGCAUUUUAUCAUUUGUCUUUCUAGCUUCAAGAGAUGCUUCAAAAUGUAGUCUUGAUUCUGGAUGGCUAUGUGCCUGGCUAACACUUUGAGAUUUUGUUAUCAAGAAAGAACUAAAGAAUGGUUAUGGAAGACAACUAGUAAUCCUUACCAUCCUUGGACAAACAAUAUUCCAUCUUUUUUUCCCAUGUGGUUUGUAUGGGUUGAACAUAGUUCAAAGACAGGCAUAUGACACCUGACAUCAU
rnacentral:lncRNA from 1 species